UAACGAAUCUUCCGCAAUGCACGAAAGUGUGACGGAGCGACGCCGCGUGUAGGAUGAAGUCCUUCGGGAUGUAAACUACUGUCAGGGGAAAGAAAGUUCUGAUCUACCCCAAAGGAAGAGGCGGCUAACUCUGUGCCAGCAGCCGCGGUAAGACAGAGGCCUCGAGCGUUAGACGGAAUCACUGGGCUUAAAGCGUGUGUAGGCGGAAGGGUAAGUACCUUGUGAAAUCCCACGGCUCAACCGUGGAACUGCUUGGUAUACUGCUUUUCUUGAGCAAUCCAGGGGCGGGUGGAACAGAUGGUGGAGCGGUGAAAUGCGUAGAUAUCAUCUGGAACGCCAAUGGUGAAGACAACCCGCUGGGGAUUUGCUGACGCUGAGACACGAAAGCCAGGGGAGCGAA
rnacentral:rRNA from 1 species